GCCUUUGUAGCUCAACGGCAGAGCACUCCCUUGAAGCGGGAGGGAUAGAGGUUCAAUUCCCCUCAGAGGCA
rnacentral:tRNA from 1 species